rnacentral:rRNA from 1 species
UACGUAGGGUGCGAGCGUUGUCCGGAAUUAUUGGUCGUAAAGAGCUCGUAGGCGGUCUGUCGCGUCGGAUGUGAAAGCCCGGGGCUUAACUCCGGGUCUGCAUUCGAUACGGGCAGACUAGAGUGUGGUAGGGGAGAUCGGAAUUCCUGGUGUAGCGGUGAAAUGCGCAGAUAUCAGGAGGAACACCGGUGGCGAAGGCGGGUCUCUGGGCCGAUACUGACGCUGAGGAGCGAAAGCGUGGGGAGCAAACAGG